AGCAAUAGACCAAAUAGGAGGACCGGUGGAAGAAGCCUUCGAGAACAUGGAUUGAAGCUUUUUGAGCAAUGAAGCAUGGCUCCUCAGCCUUUUAUUGGGUCCAACGUUAGGCAUCAGCUCCUCAGAGAUUUUAUUGCUUUCAGAAGGGGAAAGUGUCUGCAGUUCAUGUUCAUCCUUGGUACUACAACCACCAUCGCCGACAGCAGUAUCCUUUUCCCUUGUUUUCAACUCCUCUAGCACAUCAUGUUCCAAUUUACAUUCUUCUAGCUUUCCACCAAAAUGAAGUGGCUGAACUUGUAAUUUACAUUGCAGACGUAUUCUUCUUGAUGCAAGACCCUGCAUGGCAGUGCUCCCAGCAUUUGGUAAAUUUUGUGAAUUCCGAGCCCUAAUCCUGAUUCCAGUUCCA
rnacentral:misc_RNA from 1 species